GACGAACGCUGGCGGCGUGCUUAACACAUGCAAGUCGAACGGAAAGGCCCUGCUUUUGUGGGGUGCUCGAGUGGCGAACGGGUGAGUAACACGUGAGUAACCUGCUCUUGACUUUGGGAUAACUUCAGGAAACUGGGGCUAAUACCGGAUAGGAGCUCCUGCUGCAUGGUGGGGGUUGGAAAGUUUCGGCGGUUGGGGAUGGACUCGCGGCUUAUCAGCUUGUUGGUGGGGUAGUGGCUUACCAAGGCUUUGACGGGUAGCCGGCCUGAGAGGGUGACCGGCCACAUUGGUACUGAGAUACGGCCCAGACUCCUACGGGAGGCAGCAGUGGGGAAUAUUGCACAAUGGGCGGAAGCCUGAUGCAGCAACGCCGCGUGCGGGAUGACGGCCUUCGGGUUGUGAACCGCUUUCGCCUGUGACGAAGCGUGAGUGACGGUAAUGGGUAAAGAAGCACCGGCUAACUACGUG
rnacentral:rRNA from 1 species